AGCGAACGCUGGCGGCAGGCCUAACACAUGCAAGUCGAGCGCCCAGCAAUGGGAGCGGCAGACGGGAUAGUAACACGUGGGAACGUACCUUUCAGUUCGGAACAACCCAGGGAAACUUGGGCUAAUACCGAAUACGUCCGUAAGGAGAAAGAUUUAUCGCUGAAAGAUCGGCCCGCGUCUGAUUAGCUAGUUGGUGAGGUAAUGGCUCACCAAGGCGACGAUCAGUAGCNGGUCUGAGAGGAUGAUCAGCAUCACUGGGACUGAGACACGGCCCAGACUCCUACGGGAGGCAGCAGUGGGGAAUAUUGGACAAUGGGCGCAAGCCUGAUCCAGCCAUGCCGCGUGGAUGAUGAAGGCCUUAGGGUUGUAAAGUCCCUUCGGCGGGGAAGAUAAUGACGGUACCCGCAGAAGAAGCCCCGGCUAACUUCGUGCCAGCCGCCGCGGUAAC
rnacentral:rRNA from 1 species